CAGCCGCCGCGGUAAUACGAAGGGUGCAAGCGUUACUCGGAAUUACUGGGCGUAAAGCGUGCGUAGGUGGUGGUUUAAGUCCGUUGUGAAAGCCCUGGGCUCAACCUGGGAAUUGCAGUGGAUACUGGGUCACUAGAGUGUGGUAGAGGAUAGUGGAAUUUCCGGUGUAGCGGUGAAAUGCGUAGAGAUCGGGAGGAACAUCAGUGGCGAAGGCGGCCAUCUGGGACAACACUGACGCUGAGACACGAAAGCGUGGGGAGCAAACAGGAUUAGAUACCCCCGUAGUCCCUGUCUCUUAUAC
rnacentral:rRNA from 1 species